rnacentral:tRNA from 1 species
GGGCUUGUAGCUCAUCUGGGAGAGCGCUGCGUUCGCAACGCAGAGGUAGAGGGUUCGAGCCCCUUCAAGUCCACCA